rnacentral:rRNA from 1 species
UUACGCCUUCCAUGAAGCUGGAAUUGCUAGUAAUGGCAGGUCAGCAUACUGCCGUGAAUACGUUCCCGGGCCUUGUACACACCGCCCGUCACACCAUGAGAGUUGGGAAUACCCGAAGCCUGUGAGCUAACUUAUAGAGGCAGCAGUCGAAGGUAGAAUCAAUGAUUGGGGUGAAGUCGUAACAAGGUAGC